UCUGUGUGUGUGUGUGCGUGUGUGUGUGUGUGACACAUACACACACAAACAAACACAC
rnacentral:pre_miRNA from 1 species